GGUGCAUCAGACAACAAUACUUUUGCGAGGACAGGAUCUUCUGCUGUCUAUAUCACUGUUCCUACUGUAAAUACACGAGCUCUGAAAUCAUGCAGUUCAACAAAAAGAUUUUAUCAUCAUCAAGCAUGGUCUCAAGUGCAGACGAUCCCACACUUUCACUGCUGUUACUGUACAUCAACAUUUUUAAAAUGUGUAAAAAUCCAGCCUCUGGACAACCUCCCAUUGGCUGCAGCACCACCUUCAUCUCCAGCAUCAGCAUCCCCACCUUUAUUUCCCCUCGACAUUGAAACAUGUCUGUACUGAUUUUGAGGGUGCCCCUCUACAGCUAGGAGGACUUGAUUGUGGGGUAUUUAUGUUGAUGUCAAGUCCCACAACUACUCACCCAGAAAGUAACAUAUGCAGAUAACAUGAAAUUCACUCCACCUGAGUCAGAUGUCAUGGAGAUCAUCCAGACACCAGAGGAAGAUCACACAGGACUCAGCGGUGAUGAGAAACAUUCAGCUGACCUGUGAGUGGCUAAAGGAGACCACUUGCUGGGAAGAUGAGCUGCAAAAGAUCUAAAGGAUGAUGCCCUGUUGGCUAUAACAAUGUUGGACUUGUUUAUAAACACCAUGUUUUAUGAGGGUGAAAGGAAUGAAGAAGAAAUGUCGACUCCCUUCCCUUUUAUAUUUUAGAGAAGAGCAGGAGAUAUACGAGACAAAUGAGUUAUUUGUGGGUUUUGUUUACACAAAAACCCUGU